rnacentral:rRNA from 1 species
AUCGAACGCUGGCGGCGUGCUUAACACAUGCAAGUCGAGCGGUAAGGCUCCUUCGGGAGUACACGAGCGGCGAACGGGUGAGUAACACGUGAGCAAUCUGCCCUUCACAUCGGGAUAAGCACCGGAAACGGUGUCUAAUACCGAAUACGACCACUUCCGGCAUCAGAUGGUAGUGGAAAGUUCCGGCGGUGAAGGAUGAGCUCGCGGCCUAUCAGCUUGUUGGUGAGGUAACGGCUCACCAAGGCUUCGACGGGUAGCCGGCCUGAGAGGGUGACCGGCCACACUGGGACUGAGACACGGCCCAGACUCCUACGGGAGGCAGCAGUGGGGAAUAUUGGACAAUGGGCGAAAGCCUGAUCCAGCAACGCCGCGUGAGGGAUGACUGCCUUCGGGUUGUAAACCUCUUUCAGCAGGGACGAAGCGCAAGUGACGGUACCUGCAGAAGAAGCACCGGCCAACUACGUGCCAGCCGCCGCCGUAAUAC